rnacentral:rRNA from 1 species
GAUGAACGCUGGCGGCGUGCCUAAUACAUGCAAGUCGAGCGAACGGACGAGAAGCUUGCUUCUCUGAUGUUAGCGGCGGACGGGUGAGUAACACGUGGAUAACCUACCUAUAAGACUGGGAUAACUUCGGGAAACCGGAGCUAAUACCGGAUAAUAUUUUGAACCGCAUGGUUCAAAAGUGAAAGACGGUCUUGCUGUCACUUAUAGAUGGAUCCGCGCUGCAUUAGCUAGUUGGUAAGGUAACGGCUUACCAAGGCAACGAUGCAUAGCCGACCUGAGAGUGUGAUCGGCCACACUGGAGCUGGGACACGGUCCAGACUCCUACGGGAGGCAGCAGUAGGGAAUCUUCCGCAAUGGGCGAAAGCCUGACGGAGCAACGCCGCGUGAGUGAUGAUGGUCUUCGGAUCGUAAAACUCUGUUAUUAGGGAAGAACAUAUGUGUAAGUAACUGUGCACAUCUUGACGGUACCUAAUCAGAAAGCCACGGCUAACUACGUG